rnacentral:rRNA from 1 species
GAUGAACGCUGGCGGUAUGCUUAACACAUGCAAGUCGAACGGACUCUUCGGAGUUAGUGGCGGACGGGUGAGUAACGCGUGAGAAUCUGGCUUUGGGUUCGGGACAACCACUGGAAACGGUGGCUAAUACCGGAUGUGCCGAGAGGUAAAAGAGCAAUUGCCUGAAGAUGAGCUCGCGUCUGAUUAGCUAGUUGGUGAGGUAAAGGCUCACCAAGGCAGCGAUCAGUAGCUGGUCUGAGAGGAUGACCAGCCACACUGGGACUGAGACACGGCCCAGACUCCUACGGGAGGCAGCAGUGGGGAAUUUUCCGCAAUGGGCGAAAGCCUGACGGAGCAAUACCGCGUGGGGGAAGAAGGCUCUUGGGUUGUAAACCUCUUUUCUUAGGGAAGAACAAAAUGACGGUACCUAAGGAAUCAGCAUCGGCUAACUCCGUG